rnacentral:rRNA from 1 species
GACGUGCUAAUCUGCGAUAAGCGUCGGUAAGGUGAUAUGAACCGUUAUAACCGGCGAUUUCCGAAUGGGGAAACCCAGUGUGAUUCGUCACACUAUCAUUAACUGAAUCCAUAGGUUAAUGAGGCGAACCGGGGGAACUGAAACAUCUAAGUACCCCGAGGAAAAGAAAUCAACCGAGAUUCCCCCAGUAGCGGCGAGCGAACGGGGAGCAGCCCAGAGCCUGAAUCAGUGUGUGUGUUAGUGGAAGCGUCUGGAAAGGCGUGCGAUACAGGGUGACAGCCCCGUACACAAAAAUGCACAUACUGUGAGCUCGAUGAGUAGGGCGGGACACGUGGUAUCCUGUCUGAAUAUGGGGGGACCAUCCUCCAAGGCUAAAUACUCCUGACUGACCGAUAGUGAACCAGUACCGUGAGGGAAAGGCGAAAAGAACCCCGGCGAGGGGAGUGAAAAAGAACCUGAAACCGUGUACGUACAAGCAGUGGGAGCACGCUUAGGCGUGUGACUGCGUACCUUUUGUAUAAUGGGUCAGCGACUUAUAUUCUGUAGCAAGGUUAACCGAAUAGGGGAGCCGAAGGGAAACCGAGUCUUAACUGGGCGUUAAGUUGCAGGGUAUAGACCCGAAACCCGGUGAUCUAGCCAUGGGCAGGUUGAAGGUUGGGUAACACUAACUGGAGGACCGAACCGACUAAUGUUGAAAAAUUAGCGGAUGACUUGUGGCUGGGGGUGAAAGGCCAAUCAAACCGGGAGAUAGCUGGUUCUCCCCGAAAGCUAUUUAGGUAGCGCCUCGUGAAUUCAUCUCCGGGGGUAGAGCACUGUUUCGGCAAGGGGGUCAUCCCGACUUACCAACCCGAUGCAAACUGCGAAUACCGGAGAAUGUUAUUACGGGAGACACACGGCGGGUGCUAACGUCCGUCGUGAAGAGGGAAACAACCCAGACCGCCAGCUAAGGUCCCAAAGUCAUGGUUAAGUGGGAAACGAUGUGGGAAGGCCCAGACAGCCAGGAUGUUGGCUUAGAAGCAGCCAUCAUUUAAAGAAAGCGUAAUAGCUCACUGGUCGAGUCGGCCUGCGCGGAAGAUGUAACGGGGCUAAACCAUGCACCGAAGCUGCGGCAGCGACGCUUAUGCGUUGUUGGGUAGGGGAGCGUUCUGUAAGCCUGUGAAGGUGUGCUGUGAGGUAUGCUGGAGGUAUCAGAAGUGCGAAUGCUGACAUAAGUAACGAUAAAGCGGGUGAAAAGCCCGCUCGCCGGAAGACCAAGGGUUCCUGUCCAACGUUAAUCGGGGCAGGGUGAGUCGACCCCUAAGGCGAGGCCGAAAGGCGUAGUCGAUGGGAAACAGGUUAAUAUUCCUGUACUUGGUGUUACUGCGAAGGGGGGACGGAGAAGGCUAUGUUGGCCGGGCGACGGUUGUCCCGGUUUAAGCGUGUAGGCUGGUUUUCCAGGCAAAUCCGGAAAAUCAAGGCCGAGGCGUGAUGACGAGGCACUACGGUGCUGAAGCAACAAAUGCCCUGCUUCCAGGAAAAGCCUCUAAGCAUCAGGUAACAUCAAAUCGUACCCCAAACCGACACAGGUGGUCAGGUAGAGAAUACCAAGGCGCUUGAGAGAACUCGGGUGAAGGAACUAGGCAAAAUGGUGCCGUAACUUCGGGAGAAGGCACGCUGAUACGUAGGUGAAGCGACUUGCUCGUGGAGCUGAAAUCAGUCGAAGAUACCAGCUGGCUGCAACUGUUUAUUAAAAACACAGCACUGUGCAAACACGAAAGUGGACGUAUACGGUGUGACGCCUGCCCGGUGCCGGAAGGUUAAUUGAUGGGGUUAGCGCAAGCGAAGCUCUUGAUCGAAGCCCCGGUAAACGGCGGCCGUAACUAUAACGGUCCUAAGGUAGCGAAAUUCCUUGUCGGGUAAGUUCCGACCUGCACGAAUGGCGUAAUGAUGGCCAGGCUGUCUCCACCCGAGACUCAGUGAAAUUGAACUCGCUGUGAAGAUGCAGUGUACCCGCGGCAAGACGGAAAGACCCCGUGAACCUUUACUAUAGCUUGACACUGAACAUUGAGCCUUGAUGUGUAGGAUAGGUGGGAGGCUUUGAAGUGUGGACGCCAGUCUGCAUGGAGCCGACCUUGAAAUACCACCCUUUAAUGUUUGAUGUUCUAACGUGGACCCGUGAUCCGGGUUGCGGACAGUGUCUGGUGGGUAGUUUGACUGGGGCGGUCUCCUCCUAAAGAGUAACGGAGGAGCACGAAGGUUGGCUAAUCCUGGUCGGACAUCAGGAGGUUAGUGCAAUGGCAUAAGCCAGCUUGACUGCGAGCGUGACGGCGCGAGCAGGUGCGAAAGCAGGUCAUAGUGAUCCGGUGGUUCUGAAUGGAAGGGCCAUCGCUCAACGGAUAAAAGGUACUCCGGGGAUAACAGGCUGAUACCGCCCAAGAGUUCAUAUCGACGGCGGUGUUUGGCACCUCGAUGUCGGCUCAUCACAUCCUGGGGCUGAAGUAGGUCCCAAGGGUAUGGCUGUUCGCCAUUUAAAGUGGUACGCGAGCUGGGUUUAGAACGUCGUGAGACAGUUCGGUCCCUAUCUGCCGUGGGCGCUGGAGAACUGAGGGGGGCUGCUCCUAGUACGAGAGGACCGGAGUGGACGCAUCACUGGUGUUCGGGUUGUCA